CACGUAGGGUGCGAGCGUUGUCCGGAAUUAUUGGGCGUAAAGAGCUCGUAGGCGGUGUGUCGCGUCGGCCGUGAAAACCUGCAGCUUAACUGUGGGCUUGCGGUCGAUACGGGCAUCACUGGAGUUCGGCAGGGGAGACUGGAAUUCCUGGUGUAGCGGUGAAAUGCGCAGAUAUCAGGAGGGAACACCCGGUGGGCGAAGGC
rnacentral:rRNA from 1 species